AGAGUUUGAUCCUGGCUCAGGACGAACGCUGGCGGCAUGCCUAAUACAUGCAAGUCGAACGAGCUUCGUUGAAUGACGUGCUUGCACUGAUUUCAACAAUGAAGCGAGUGGCGAACUGGUGAGUAACACGUGGGAAAUCUGCCCAGAAGCAGGGGAUAACACUUGGAAACAGGUGCUAAUACCGUAUAACAACAAAAUCCGCAUGGAUUUUGUUUGAAAGGUGGCUUCGGCUAUCACUUCUGGAUGAUCCCGCGGCGUAUUAGUUAGUUGGUGAGGUAAAGGCCCACCAAGACGAUGAUACGUAGCCGACCUGAGAGGGUAAUCGGCCACAUUGGGACUGAGACACGGCCCAAACUCCUACGGGAGGCAGCAGUAGGGAAUCUUCCACAAUGGACGAAAGUCUGAUGGAGCAAUGCCGCGUGAGUGAAGAAGGGUUUCGGCUCGUAAAACUCUGUUGUUAAAAAGAACACCUUUGAGAGUAACUGUUCAAGGGUUGACGGUAUUUAACCAGAAAGCCACGGCUAACUACGUGCCAGCAGCCGCGGUAAUACGUAGGUGGCAAGCGUUGUCCGGAUUUAUUG
rnacentral:rRNA from 1 species